UUAACAUAAGCAGAAGAAAACAGAAAACUGUUAUUCAGAGCAGGGUUUGAAUAGAGUGCAGUCAAUAAGGCACAGGACCACUUUACAGAAAACUCUGGGAAAAAUGACCUUGCUGACUGCAACUUUUCCUGCUCAAUCAUUCUACUUGUCCGCAUGUGCCUUCAGAUGAGCAAAUGUAACAGGCUGUGCUGCUACGUGUGAUAGCAUAAGAUAGGAGAAUAAUCAUGCUUUGCACUCUCGUAGCUCUCUACAUAUCGAAAGGUCAGAGAGAGACUAAGGGGGGGAGCGACUGGCUCACGUCACACGAGCUCAAUACCAGGGGGGAGAGACACCACCAUCAAGCUGUCACUCACAAAACUCAGGAAUGGUGCGAUCGAGUCAGAGCCUCAGAAACCUACAUUCCCACUGAUGGGCAGAGGAUUUAGCAUUAAUGAACGGACCAAAUGGCGAACGAUCGUUACGGCCAACUGUCUGGCUAAGUGUUGAAGAAGAUUUUAAACCCCCCAAAGGCAAGCAAUAUGAAGUUAUUAUUCUCACAGGAACUGAAACCUGACCCCUCCUGGACCUUACACAUAUCUAUUAGGUGGUUUUAAGAAUGCCUUAGUAUUGCAGAUGGGCCCGGGAAAUGCUGUUAAGAUCUGGAUGUGCUUUAGGCAGGGGGGAUCAAGGUAAAAGUUAAAUCAGAGCUGGGGCUCACUGUAAUCUCACAACAUGUUUUUGUGGGACCUUGGGGUCCAAAUUGCACAAGUCUCACAACGCCAGUUGGUCUCAUGCAAUUUUACCCUCAUCUGAACAAAGCCCUGGAAUGAAAUCCCAUAAAUGCUUGAUCUGCAGCCAAAUUUCCCCUGCCCUGAAAUUCAGAACCUCAGAUCCAAGUGCCUUCAGUUUUGUCCCAUCUCCACUUAAUGUUGUAUCAACGUGGCCAAGUAGUUCAUUAACUUUUUGAGGCUCUUCUGUUUUGUUUUUGUAUUUAAUUUCUUUAGAAACAAAGGAGAAAAACAAAUAUGAGAAAAUGGCCAGGGCAUUUAUCAGUCUGUGAAUCUGAAUAUGCAGUCUAGUGAGCCCACAGUCUCCAUUCAUAUUUCAUGCCCUCUCUAGAGUGGAUUCCAAUGAAAGUGAGUUGAGAGGGCCCAGCAUCUUGGAGAAUUGGGACCAAAAAAGCUACAUGUUUUUAAAAGUACACUUCUACAAUAAGGAAGCUAGUUGCGAUUAUUUUCCCCUUUCAAAAUUACCAAUCAUUCAGGGCCUCCAUAUGGAGCUGACAGCAGGAACCUCAGUGCACAAGUACAAGGGUGGCCAUAAAAUAUUACUUUGCAUUGAAAGACAUGAAGCUGUCAUCUACAACAUCAUUAAAACUUCUCAAUUAAGAAUUUCUGGAGUAACCUAUUCAGCUGUAAUGGCAGCAAUUUACAGUACUAGAGGAAACUGAAUUCUACACAUCGAGACAGCUGAAAUAUAAAAGGAAACAAUACAUUUGAUUAUAUGAAGUGCUUUAAAAUGUUGGCAUCCAAAGAUCAAUGCAAAUCUAGAUUUUUUUUAAACCUUCCUGUACUAUGACUUGCAAGGUACCAUAAUUUCCCCUCCCUCAUCACCUCUACUAUAUUUAGAAAAUAAAGAUACAAUUUUGGUUUGUUUA